GACGAACGCUGGCGGCGUGCCUAAUACAUGCAAGUAGAACGCUGAAGAGAGGAGCUUGCUCUUCUUGGAUGAGUUGCGAACGGGUGAGUAACGCGUAGGUAACCUGCCUUGUAGCGGGGGAUAACUAUUGGAAACGAUAGCUAAUACCGCAUAACAAUGGAUGACACAUGUCAUUUAUUUGAAAGGGGCAAUUGCUCCACUACAAGAUGGACCUGCGUUGUAUUAGCUAGUAGGUGAGGUAAUGGCUCACCUAGGCGACGAUACAUAGCCGACCUGAGAGGGUGAUCGGCCACACUGGGACUGAGACACGGCCCAGACUCCUACGGGAGGCAGCAGUAGGGAAUCUUCGGCAAUGGGGGCAACCCUGACCGAGCAACGCCGCGUGAGUGAAGAAGGUUUUCGGAUCGUAAAGCUCUGUUGUAAGUCAAGAACGGGUGUGAGAGUGGAAAGUUCACCCAGUGACGGUAGCUUACCAGAAAGGGACGGCUAACUACGUG
rnacentral:rRNA from 1 species